rnacentral:lncRNA from 1 species
UAUAUAGAGAGAGAGUUGGGCUAGGAUAUUUUUACAAGUAUCACUCCCAUGGUGCUAUUAGGUUUUUAACCAUUGGAUCUACUUCUUGAUUACUAAUAGUCCUUGGAUCAAACACUAUUCCACCUACCACCACCUACCACCAUCAUCUCAACCUCACAUCUNGUCCUUGGAUCAAACACUAUUCCACCUACCACCACCUACCACCAUCAUCUCAACCUCACAUCUCUCCAUCCAAGGGCUAAAAACACUAAAGCACCACCUCCAUGGUACUUGCAAAAGUAUUCUAACUCCAUUAUAUAUAUAUAUAUAUAUAUAUAUAUAUAUAUAUAGUCCCGCUACUAUGCUAUCAGUAGCACGAAGCGCUCCGUGCUACCAAAUUAUUUUUGAUGAUCGGCUUCAUUAGACUUGAUCAACACUAUUGAAAGUUUUUGGAAACUAAAUUUCAGAUUUUUUCGACAUCAUUUGACUAGUGAUCAAAAGAUUUCAAAAUUGACAAUUUUAAUGACCGAUGUAGUGUGUUUGUGAGUUUAACGGUGUAAAACAAUCCAAAUGCGAUAAAAAUUUUAUAGAAAAUUCUUUUCACUAUUUAGAGUAAGAUCAGUAUAUCUGAUCUUGAAUUUAAAUCUUUUAUCAUAAUUUUUCAUGAGAUUUUUAUUUUCAGCCGUUCAAUUUUAGACUACUUGUUUGAUAGGUAAAUGAUAUCGAAAAAUUAUGAAAUUUAGUUUCUAAAUACUUUCAAUAGUUUAG